rnacentral:rRNA from 1 species
GUAGUCAUAUGCUUGUCUCAAAGAUUAAGCCAUGCAUGUCUAAGUAUAAGCAAUUAUACGGCGAAACUGCGAAUGGCUCAUUAUAUAAGUUAUCGUUUAUUUGAUAGUACCUUACUACUUGGAUAACCGUGGUAAUUCUAGAGCUAAUACAUGCUUAAAAUCCCGACUUCGGAAGGGAUGUAUUUAUUAGAUUAAAAACCAAUGCCCUUCGGGGCUCUCUGGUGAUUCAUGAUAACUUCUCGAAUCGCAUGGCCUUGCGCCGGCGAUGGUUCAUUCAAAUUUCUUCCCUAUCAACUUUCGAUGUUUGGGUAUUGGCCAAACAUGGUUGCAACGGGUAACGGAGGGUUAGGGCUCGACCCCGGAGAAGGAGCCUGAGAAACGGCUACUACAUCCAAGGAAGGCAGCAGGCGCGCAAAUUACCCAAUCCCGACUCGGGGAGGUAGUGACAAUAAAUACUGAUACAGGGUUCUUUUGGAUCUUGUAAUUGGAAUGAGUACAAUUUAAAUCCCUUAACGAGGAACAAUUGGAGGGCAAGUCUGGUGCCAGCAGCC